CCGUACGAAGCUUCAUUUUUUCUCCAAAAGAGGCGCUAUUAUCGACCGUGUGCACAACGCAGUGUAGUCUAAAUAAUUAGACUUAAAUUUUUAAUUAUGACAAUGAUGUGAAGACAUGGAGACAAAACGACGGGCCCUUCAUCUGCUUACUUCUCCACAACCAAGGAAAUAUAUGAUAACAAGUUUCUCCGUAUCCGUAGCACAUUCGUCGAGAACAUAGGGCGCGAAAUUACGAAAAAGAGUAAACAUUGCCAUCUCAAAAUUCAAGAUUUCGGAACAGUCGUGUCAUCCGUAGGAGUUAAAAAGAUACUCCCCGCUUUAAAGCCAAAACUGGAAACAGUAAUAUUUAAAAAUUAGAAUUUAAAGAUUAUAUCAGUAUUAAAAGGAAGGAAUCUAGAAAUAGGGAUUUGUGAAAAAGGAUCUAUAAAUAGAAAUAAUAAAAUUCCAGAUAUUGUAAUGGUAAUAAGAAAUGAUAGAGACAAAAACUAUUAGAUGUGGUACGGGAAUUUACAAGAAAGAAAAAAAUUUGAUUAAUAAAUAAUACUAAGGUUUGAAUAACGUCUAGCAAAUUCUGGUUAAAGUGCCUGUUGGACUCACUGCAGGUAGUUAUCGCUAUUGCUACAUUGUUAAAUUUAUAAACGUAUUUUUUAGUAUUAUGUCCAAUAAAUAUAAUGUUCACUGUA